rnacentral:rRNA from 1 species
UACGUAGGGUGCGAGCGUUAAUCGGAAUUACUGGGCGUAAAGCGUGCGCAGGCGGUGAGCUGUGUCCGAUGUGAAAUCCCCGGGCUUAACCUGGGAACUGCAGUCGAGACUGUCUAGCUAGAGUAUGGGAGAGGGAAGUGGAAUUUCAGGUGUAGCGGUGAAAUGCGUAGAUAUCUGAAGGAACAUCAGUGGCGAAAGCGACUUCCUGGACCAAUACUGACGCUCAUGUGCGAAAGCGUGGGGAGCAAACAGG